GAUGAAGAACGUAGCGAAAUGCGAUACGUAGUGUGAAUUGCAGAAUUCAGUGAAUCAUCGAAUCUUUGAACGCACAUUGCACCUCUCGGUAUUCCGGGAGGUAUGCCUGUUCGAGCGUCAUUUGUACCCUCAAGCUCUGCUUGGUGUUGGGUGUUUGUUCCGCCUCUGUGUGUGAACUCGCCUCAAAACAAUUGGCAGCCGGCGUACUUGUUUCGGAGCGCAGCACAUUUUGCGAUCCAGAUCAACGUACAGCGGCAUCCAAGAAGCCUUAUUUAACGCUCUUGACCUCGGAUCAGGUAGGGAUACCCGCUGAGCUUAAGCAUAUCAAUAAGCGGAGGA
rnacentral:misc_RNA from 1 species